GACGAACGCUGGCGGCGUGCUUAACACAUGCAAGUCGAACGGAAAGGCCCUGCUUUUGUGGGGUGCGCGAGUUGCGAACGGGUGAGUAACACGUGAGUAACCUGCCCUUGACUGUGGGAUAACUUCAGGAAACUGGGGCUAAUACCGGAUAGGAGCUCCUGCUGCAUGGUGGGGGUUGGAAAGUUUCGGCGGUUGGGGAUGGACUCGCGGCUUAUCAGCUUGUUGGUGGGGUAGUGGCUUACCAAGGCUUUGACGGGUAGCCGGCCUGAGAGGGUGACCGGCCACAGUGGGACUGAGAUACGGCCCAGACUCAUACGGGAGGGAGCAGUGGGGAAUAUUGCACAAUGGGCGGGAGCCUGAUGCAGAAACGCCGCGUGCGCGAUGACGGCCUUCGGGUUGUAAACCUCUUUCGCCUGUGACGAAGCGUGAGUGACGGUAAUGGGUAAAGAAGCACCGGCUAAAUACGUG
rnacentral:rRNA from 1 species